rnacentral:rRNA from 1 species
GACGAACGCUGGCGGCGUGCUUAACACAUGCAAGUCGAACGAUGAACCCGGAGCUUGCUCCGGUGGAUUAGCGGCGGACGGGUGAGUAACACGUGGGUAACCUGCCCAUAAGACUGGGAUAACUCCGGGAAACCGGGGCUAAUACCGGAUAACAUUUUGAACCGCAUGGUUCGAAAUUGAAAGGCGGCUUCGGCUGUCACUUAUGGAUGGACCCGCGUCGCAGUAGCUAGUUGGUGAGGUGACGGCUCACCAAGGCAACGAUGCGUAGCCGACCUGAGAGGGUGAUCGGCCACACUGGGACUGGGACACGGCCCAGACUCCUACGGGAGGCAGCAGUAGGGAAUCUUCCGCAAUGGACGAAAGUCUGACGGAGCAACGCCGCGUGAGUGACGAAGGCUUUCGGGUCGUAAAACUCUGUUGUUAGGGAAGAACAAGUGCUAGUUGAAUAAGCUGGCACCUUGACGGUACCUAACCAGAAAGCCACGGCUAACUACGUGCCAGCCGCCGCAGUAA